rnacentral:siRNA from 1 species
AGUGCGGGCUGCCUACGUACCC